AUGAACGCCCGAACCAUCCCGACGACGCAAAAGAGUCAACAGCCCCGAAGGGGACGCGCGGGACGAGGCAGGGACACACCGCUCGCACGGCACCCGGUUGGAAGAAAGAAGAAGAGUCCGCGCGGAUCCGCCCCGGCCGCGUGGGCGGGCACGCCACGAUCCGACGGCUCGCGCCGACGAUUUUUGGCACGGCACCGGCAAACGCAAAGCAAGCAAUCAGGCUGGCAGGAAAAAGGAUCGAGGAGGAGGUGGACGACUCCGCCCGCACACCCCCGCGCCACGGACAAAACCACUGGUAGUAGUACCACCGGAGAAGGGGGCAAGCGCGCGCGACGCGACGCGACGCACGCGGGAGAACGAAGCCCCCCACUCCCUUCCUCUCCUCCUCCUCCCCGCCCCGGCAUCGAGGCUCCCGGCGGGAUGGGCGCGGGGAAUGGCCUGAGCAACGGCGCCGCGGCCGCGGCCGAGGCGGCGCCCGACGGGACCACGGUGUUCCGGGCCACGGCCUACUCGCCGCUGCGCACCACGCUGGCGCUGGCGCUCUGGCUGGGGGCCAUCCACUUCAACGUCCUCCUCGUCCUCGCCUCCCUCUUCCUCCUCCCCCGCCGCGUCGCCGCCAUGGUGCUCGGCACGCAGCUCUUCUUCAUGCUCGUGCCCCUCAAUGACAAGAGCAGGAUUGGACGCAAGAUCGCCAGAUUCAUAAGCAAGUACGUCGUUGGGUACUUCCCCGUCACUCUACAUGUGGAGGACUACAAGGCCUUUGACCCCAAAAGAGCUUACGUGUUCGGUUAUGAACCGCAUUCUGUUCUGCCCAUCGGCCUUGGGGCCCUCGUGGACCUUGUUGGAUUCAUGCCAUUGCCGAAGACCAAGGUUCUUGCAAGCACUGCGGUGUUCUACACUCCGUUCUUGAGGCAGAUAUGGACGUGGUUGGGCUUGGUUCCUGCUUCAAGAAAGAACUUCUACUCCUACCUUCGAGCUGGUUAUACCUGCAUCGUAGUGCCUGGAGGUGUACAGGAGAUGCUUCACAUGGAUCAUGAUUCGGAGGUUGCUUUUCUGAAAUCAAGAAAAGGUUUUGUUAAGAUCGCUAUGGAGACAGGUUCUCCUUUAGUCCCGGUCUUCUGCUUCGGACAGAGCCUUGUGUACAAGUGGUGGAGGCCAGGUGGCAAGUUGAUUGUGAAGAUUGCUAGAGCAAUUAAAUUUACUCCAAUUGUUUUCUUUGGGAAAUACGGGACUCCCAUCCCUUUCGCGACACCACUUCAUCUGGUUGUUGGAAGACCAAUCGAGGUUCAGAAAAAUCCUCAGCCUACAUAUGAUGAGAUAAACGAGGUGCAUGAACAAUUUGUGGUUGCGAUGCAAGAACUAUUCGAAAAGUACAAGACAAAAGCUGGAUAUGACAAACUCGAAUUGAGAGUUCUAUGA
rnacentral:rRNA from 1 species